UAACACGUGGGUUAUCUACCUCCGGGUGGGGGAUAACUCUGGGAAACCGGAGCUAAUACCGCAUAAGCUCGAAAGAGGAAAGGCGCAAGACGCCGGGAGAGGAGCCCGCGGCUGAUUAGCUUGUUGGUGCGGGUAAAUGGCCUACACAAGGACUAGAGAUCAGUACGCCGGCCUGAGAGGGCACACGGCCACACUGGCACUGAAACACGGGCCUGACUCCUACGGGAGGCAGCANUGGGGAAUCUUGUCACAAUGGGGGAAACCUCUGAUGCAGCGUAUGCCGCGUGAGCGAUGAAGCCCUUCUGGGGUGUAAAGCUCUUUCGGCAGGGACGAUAAUCACGGUACCUGCANAACAAGCUGCGGCUAACUACCUNCCAUCAGCCGCGGUNAUACGUAGGCAGCGAGCGUUGUUCGGAGUUUCUGGGCGUNNAGNGUGAGUAGGGUGGUCCAGUCUGGUGUGAAAUCUCCCGGCUUAACCGGGAGGGUGCGCCUGGAACACUGGGCCGUUGAGUACGGGAGAGNGCAAGCGGCAAUUCCCAGGUGUACUCUGGCUAAAAUGUCUGUAGAUUCUGGAUGGAAACANCCGUGGUGUAACGGCUUGCUGGUACCGCAACUGACGCUGUAGGGCACGGAAAGCGGUGGGGAGCAAACAGGAUUUAGAUACCCUGGUUAGUCCAACGCCCCUAAACGAUGCAUACCUGGUGUGGGCAGUUCAGUCUGUCCGUGCCGAAGUUAACGCGAUAAGUAUGCCGCCUGGGGAGUACGGUCGCAAGGCUGAAACUCAAAGGAAUUGACGGGGGCCCGCACAAGCGGUGGAGCAUGUGGUUUAAUUCGACGCAACGCGAAGAACCUUACCUGGGCUCGAACGGCUUCUGACCGCCGGUGGAAACACUGGUUUUCCCGCAAGGGACAGGAGUCGAGGUGCUGCAUGGCUGUCGUCAGCUCGUGUCGUGAGAUGUUGGGUUAAGUCCCGCAACGAGCGCAACCCUUGUCCUGUGUUGCAACCCUUCGGGGGCACUCUCAGGAGACCGCCAGCGAUAAGCUGGAGGAAGGUGGGGAUGACGUCAAGUCAUCAUGGCCUUUAUGUCCAGGGCUACACACGUGCUACAAUGGACGGUACAAACCGCCGCAAACCCGCGAGGGGGAGCAAAUCGGAAAAAACCGUUCUCAGUUCGGAUUGCAGGCUGCAACCCGCCUGCAUGAAGCUGGAAUCGCUAGUAAUGGUAUAUCAGAACGAUACCGUGAAUACGUUCCCGGGCCUUGUACACACCGCCCGUCACAUCACGAAAGUGGGUUGUACUAGAAGUCUGCGCGCCAACCCACAAGGGAGGCAGCGGCCCAAGGUAUGACUCAUGAUUGGGGUGAAGUCGUACAAGGUAGCCGUAGGAGAACCUGCGGCUGGAUCACCUCCUU
rnacentral:rRNA from 1 species